rnacentral:misc_RNA from 1 species
UAAGUGACAGAUGGAGGCUGUAAGUGCCCGGCCAGCACGGCCAGCGCAACAGGAUGUUCACAGCAGCGGGCCGGGGCUUCCCAUUGUUUCACAGAGUAGUGGUUGCUCAUUGAUUGAGAGGCAGCACCAGGCAGGAUGCAUGCUCUAGGGUUUUCAGAAAACCCGAUUUUGAUAAGAGUACCCGGCUCAAACCUCUAGUCGUGUAUGAUGAAGAGGACUUCUGAGAAUGGUUCAUCUUUUCUCGCAGUCAAAGGUCCAGCAGCCAGUAACACCGCAGACAGCUCCAUCACUUGAUACUGCUGACCUGCAAAUAGCAAUCCCAAAGAGCAAAUAAGAGCAAUAGCAGAGAUAAGCCAGUGGAAAGAGAGAGAGAAAAAAACAAGUAUGCAAAAUGGCCACACUUUCGCUGAAGAUCAGCAUCGUGGGCCAGAAUGUGGUCAAGACCAUGCAGUUUGAGCCUUCGACCAUAGUCUACGAUGCAUGUCGAAUCAUUCGAGAGCGCAUUCCAGAGGCCAACCCUGGCAACCCUUCUGACUAUGGCUUGUUCUUGUCUGAUGAAGAUCCAAAGAAAGGAGUAUGGCUCGAACAGGGCCGGAGCUUAGAGUAUUACUUACUGCGCAAUGGAGACAUCUUAGAGUACAAGAAUAAGCACCGUAUUUUAAAAGUUCGAACACUAGAUGGUGCUCUGAAGACACUACAGGUGGAUGACUCCCACACUGUGGGCCAACUUAUGAUUCCUAUCUGCACCCGAAUGGGAAUCACAAAUCAUGAGGAAUAUUCCCUGGUGCGUGACUUACCAGAGGAUGAGAAAGAGAAGAUAAUGACGCUCAAGCGUGACAAAACCAUUGCAAAGGAUCAAAAGAAGCUGGAAGAGAUGAAGAAGAAACUUCAUACAGAUGAUGAAAUGAACUGGCUUGACCACUCCAAGACCUUAAGGGAACAAAACAUAGAUCCUAAUGAAAUUCUGUUGCUUCGACGCAAGUUCUUCUACUCAGACCAGAAUGUUGAUGCUCGUGAUCCUGUCCAGCUAAAUCUUCUCUAUGUUCAGUCACGUGAUGCUAUUCUGAAUGGAACACAUCCUGUCUCUAUUGAGGAAGCCAUUCAGUUUGCAGGCUUGCAAUGCCAGGUACAAUUUGGUGAUCAUGUGGAGGCCAAGCAUCGACCUGGUUUUUUGGAUCUCAAAGAAUUCCUUCCAAGAGAGUAUGUAAAGACUAAAGGAAUAGAGAAGAAAAUAUUUGUGGAACACAAAAAGCAUGCAGGUUUGGCAGAGAUUGAGGCCAAAGUGAGAUACACACACCUGUGUCGCUCACUGAAAACAUAUGGGAUAACAUUCUUUCUCGUAAAAGAGAAGAUGAAAGGAAAGAACAAGCUGGUGCCUCGCCUCUUGGGAAUUACUAAAGAGAGUGUUGUACGCGUGGAUGAAAAAACAAAAGAGAUUCUUAAGACAUGGCCUCUAACCACAGUUAGAAGAUGGGCAGCCUCACCAAACACUUUUACUCUGGAUUUUGGGGACUACUCAGAUGACUACUAUUCAGUCCAGACCACGGAAGGAGAACAAAUAUCACAGCUUAUUGCUGGAUACAUUGACAUUAUUCUGAGAAAGAAAAAAGCUAAGGACCAUCUGGGUAUUGAUGGAGAUGAGAACUCCAUGAUGUACGAGGACAAUGUGCAACCUGCCAAGGCAACUAUUAUCCAGCAGCAGUCUUCCAAUAUAAGCCACCCAACCUCUGGUUCAGUUGCUAUUCCAGCUGUUUUGCGAGAUGGAUAUCAGGGCGAGAAUGAGUUCUCCAUGGAGUCGCUGAACAAGGCACAUUUCUCUCAGUCCUCUGGCCAGGCACUUGGCGGAGGCCGUGCAUCUAUGCAUGGCCAGUCAAUACAGGAAACUGAAUUAACUCCAGCCCAGCGUGCGUUUGUAGUGACUAUAGAAGAAGGAUUGGGAAGUCUGUCAGCUGCCAGAAGUGACCUGGACAGGAAACUUGAGAUUCCCACUAUUGGAUCCGAUCCAGCUUCAAAGAAGUGGAGAGAAAACCAACUGGAUCUGUCCAGACAGAAGGCCACUGCCCAACUGUCCUCAAUGAAUGCAGCUACUGCCCAGCUUUUGACCCUGACCUCAGGUGGACUUGAUGAUGUAGACUAUACUGCAGUGGGAGCUGCUGUAAAUCAGAUUUCUUCAAACAUGGGACAGUUUAGCCGUGAUGUCAAGAUGCUUGCAGCGCUGGGAGAAGACAAGAAUGCUAGUGACAAACUGCUGGAUGCCACCCGCCGUCUGUGUGGAGCUUUCUCUGAGCUGCUUAAUGCAGCGCAGCCAGGGUCUAAGGAGCCUCGGCAGAACUUGUUGGCUGCUGCUGGAAAGAUUGGUGAAGCUAGCCAGGAGGUUAUGGAUGAGAUAGGAGAAAGUGUUGAGGACAUGGACAAGGCUUUCCAGGACACCUUGUUGUCACUGGCAAAAGCUGUAGCAAACGCUACAGCAGCCCUGGUGCUAAAGGCAAAAACAGUAGCCAGUAAAACAGAAAACCCAGCACAGCAGAACAAAGUGAUCAGUUCUGCCACUCAGUGUGCCUUGGCCACAUCACAGCUUGUUGCAUGUUCUAAGGUGGUUGCUCCAACAAUUGGACAACCAGCAUGCCAGGAACAAUUGAUUGAAGCUGCCAAGCUGGUAGCCAAGUCGGUGGAAGGCAUUGUAGCUGCAGCACAGUCAGCAUGUAGUGAUGACCACCUUCUGCAGGACCUGGGAGUUGCUGCUACAGCUGUCACGCGUGCCCUUAAUGACCUUCUACAGCAUAUCAAAAAAGCUGCUGGGCCUACUCGAGCCAAUGAACAGCAUGAAGAGGGUGUGGAUGCUGUCAUCAAUGUCACUGAUCGCUUGAUUAGCAGUACUGGGGAUGCCCAUGAGAUGGUCAAGCAGGCCAAACACCUGGCUCAGGCCACAUCACUGCUUGUUACGGCAAUCAGAGGACAGGCUGAGCAGCAGCAGGAUUCCGAGAUGCAAAAAAGGUUAUUGGCAGCAGCAAAGCAGCUGGCAGAUGCUACUGCAAAACUUGUUGAAGCUGCUAAGGGCUGUGCUUCAUCACCGAAUGAUAGCCAACAGCAGCAGAUUCUGAAGUCUGCUGCUGAAGAAUUGCGAUCUGCAACUAACACUGCUGCCAGCAAUGCCCUCAAACGUAGAGUUGUUGGCCGUUUGGAGAAUGCUGCCAGGCAAGCUGUGUCUGCUGGUACCCAGCUCAUCAACUCUGCUAACCAAGCCAACAAAUCCAAUCGCAACCCAUCAUCUCACCAGCAGUUGGGGGCAUCUGUGCAGGCACUGGAUGAACAGAUUCCAGAUUUGGUGCAAGCUUUGAGAACUGUGCAAAAAAACCGUGACUCUGCCACUGCACAGUUGGCGCUUAUCAAUGCCAGUCAGGAGUUUAUCCAGCCGGCUUCUCGUAUGGUAGCUGCUUCCAAUGCUGCAGUACCAACAGUCACAGACCAGGCAUCUCUUCUGAACCUUCACUCUUCUGUCAAAGCUAUGUCUGCUGCUGUAGCUGAACUGAGGACAGCAGCUGCUAAAGCUCAGGAGGCAUGUGGGUCCUUGGAGCUUGACAGUGCGUUAGAUCAACUUGCUGGGCUAGAUCAUGAGCUGGAGGAUGCACGGCAGGCAGCAGCCUUUGGACGAUUGCAUCCCCUACCUGGAGAAACGGCUGAAACAGCUGCUGUUCAGCUUGGAGCAACCUCCAAGACUGUUGGGUCUUCAAUGGCACAGCUGUUGACAGCUGCUGCACAAGGCAAUGAAGACUAUGUUGGUAUAGCUGCACGAGAUACAGCAAAUGCUUUAAAGAUACUGACUAAUGCAGUGCGUGGUGUUGCUGCAACGACCACUGACAAGCAGGUUCAGGAAGCUGUCAUUGCCAAUGCCAGAGAUGUUAUUGAUAAAUCUUACCGACUGCUGGAAGAAGCUCGGCGUGCAAUGCAGGAUCCAUCCAAUCCAGAUAACCAGCAACGUUUGACACAGGUUGCCAAAGAUGUGUCAAAUGCUCUGAACAACUGUGUCAACUGCUUACCAGGCCAGCGUGAUGUCGAUAAUGCCAUCAGGCGCAUCACUGCCUCUAGUCAGAAUCUGUCCUCACCACAGUUUCCUCUCACAGACAAGACAUAUCCAGAAGUACAAGUAGACAUGAACAACACAGCCGUCGGCCUCAACCAGGCUGCUAGUGAUAUAGUCACUGCCUCUCGCGGCACUGCUCAUGAACUGGCCUCUUCGUCCAACCGCUACAGUCAAGCUUAUGAUGACUUUGUACACACUGGUUUGACCAUGGCUGGUCUGUCCAAGGAUGUGGAGACACAGAACCAGAUUGUAGGAGGUCUGAAAAGUGUCUCAAUGGUGUCUAGCAAGCUCCUCCUUGCAGCAAAGUCAGUCUCAGCUGAUCCAAAUGCACCUAACGCGAAAAAUCUCUUAGCUCAGGCAGCAAGGGCUGUGACAGAGAGCAUCAAUCAUCUUAUCAAUAUCUGCACAGUUUCGGCUCCAGGACAGAAAGAAUGUGACAAUGCUCUUCGUCAAAUCCAGAUGAUAAGAAACUUGCUGGAGAACCCCAAUGAGCCUGUCAGCGAUUUGUCCUACUUUGAUUCUCUGGAUGCUGUAAUGGAGAAAUCUAAGGCCCUUGGUGAUGCUAUGACAGGAAUCUCAAACCAAGCCAAAAAGGGAGAUUUAGAAGAGUUUUGUGAAUCAGUGCGUAAUUUUGCCAGCUCUGUAUGUGGACUGACAGAAGCCUCAACUCAGGCUGCUUACCUUGUUGGUAUCUCCGAUCCUGCUUCAGAACCUGGACGGCCAGGUGUUGUAGACCAGUCACAGUUCCACAGAGCUAAUCAAGCUAUCCAGAUGGCCUGCCAAAACCUCACAAAUCCAGCCAGCUCACAACAGCAGGUGAAUGUGCAGGCUCAGGACUUCUUGUACUCAUCUGAUGGUCGUAGAAUGUAUUAUGCCUCCUGGACACUUCGGUCCAUGGUUUUGUCUGCUGCUACAGUUGUAGCCAAACACACAUCUGCUCUCUGCAAUGCCUGUCGUCUUGCAUCUUCAAAAACAGCCAAUCCUGUGGCAAAACGUCAUUUUGUGCAGAGUGCAAAAGAUGUAGCCAACAGCACUGCAAGUCUUGUCAAAGCUAUCAAGGCCCUUGAUAGUGACUUUACAGAGGAGAAUCGACGCAGAUGUGCAGAAGCUGCAAAACCUUUGACAGAUGCUGUAGACGAGUUGACAACUUUCGCCUCUUCGCCUGAGUUUGCCAGUAAACCUGCAAAGAUCAGUGCACAGGCACGACAAGCACAGGAACCUAUCACAGUAGCAGGGAGAGCGAUGGUGGAUGGAGCCUGCCACAUGCUGCAAGCAGCCAAACAGCUGGCUGUCAACCCACGAGACCCAGCCAUUUACCAACUUUAUUCCAGUCACUCCAAGAGUGUUUCUGACUCCAUUAAGCGCCUUGUGUCCUCCAUUAAAGACAGUGCACCAGGUCAGAAGGAGUGUGACCAAGCCGUUGGAGACUUGAAUCGCACUAUCCACAAACUUGACCAAGCAUCAUUGGAGGCUAUUCGCCAGAAUCUUGUACCUCGCGACACUAAUACUCUCAAAGGUUUCCAGGAGCAGAUGAUCAGCAGCGCCCAUGAGAUCUUUGACCAUGUGGAUGAAAUUCGGCAAGCAGCAAAACAUGAGCCAGAAAAUCUUGGUCAUUUGGUGUCAACAGUAAUCUCAUAUUUUGAGCCACUGGCUGAAGGAGCAAUUGGUGCAGCAUCCAAAACCUUAAAUUCUAAACAACAGAUGAAUAUUCUGGACCUGACCAAGACAGUUGUGGAAUCUGCUCUGCAGUAUACAUAUGCUGUGAAAGAGGGCGGAGGCAAUCCUAAAGCCACACAGGCCCAUACAUCUAUAGACACAGCAGCCAAUGACAUGAAAGACGUCCUACAAGAUUUGCUGCAGAGUGUAGAAGAGGCAGCAUCACAGGCUGGUGUUGUAUCCAAUAUGAUUGACAGCAUUUCCAAAUCUAUUGCCAGGACAGAAGAGCAUAUGGUGACCAGCGAAACUGUAUCAUUUGUUGACCACCAGACCAACAUGGUUCGCUUGGCCAAGCAGAUUGCCCGCACAGCUCAAGAUAUGAUUGGCAAAUCAACCACCAAUGUGGGUCAACUAGGUGUGUUGGCUAACCAGCUGACUAGGGAUUACGCUCAGCUAGCCAGUGCUUCUUGUGGAGCUGCCGGUGCCACCACCAGCUCUGAUAUUGCCAACAGGAUUCGAAUGACAGUUCAGGACCUUGGCAAAUCAUGCAUUGAGUUGGUUCAGGAUGCUGGUUUUCUUCAGGCCAACCCAUCUGACACUUAUGCUGAACGUGAUUUAAGCGAGCAUGCCCGUUCAAUCAAUGAAAAGGUGUCAUAUGUACUGGCAGCCCUUCAGGCAGGUUCCCGUGGCACACAGGCCUGUAUUAAUGCAGCCAGUACUGUCAGUGGCAUCAUUGGUGACCUGGAUACUACAAUCAUGUUUGCCACUGCAGGCACCUUGAAUGCAGAUGGAGAUGAAUCAUUUGCAGAUCAGAGGGAAAACAUACUCAAAACAGCAAAAGCCCUGGUGGAAGACACUAAGAUGCUAGUAGCUGGAGCAGCCUCAAACCAAGAGCAGCUGGCAGCUGCUGCUCAAGCGGCGGUCAAAACUAUCACUCGCCUGGCUGAUGUUGUCAAGCUGGGGGCUGGAGCUUUAGGCUCAGAUCAGCCAGAAGCCCAGGUCUUACUCAUAAAUGCAGUCAAAGAUGUCGCCUCUGCUCUCUCCGAUCUGAUAAGUGCCACAAAAAAUGCUUCUGGAAAACCUGUUAGUGAUCCAGCCAUGUUGCACCUUAAAGAUUCAGCCAAGAUAUCACGUCAGUUGAAUCCAGUGGAGGUUCGAUUUUUUUGCUUGGGAAGAGCACGGCCAUAAUGAGCUGCUGGCUUCGAUACUGUGUGGGCAUGCCUUCAUUUAACUUAGUGAUGCGCUUUUAUAGGACAGAUGUCCACACUGACUACACAUGGCUGCCAUCCUCCAGGGAAGGUUCCUAUUCUAGCUGGUGUUAGACUUUUUGGUGUUCAGAAGGACUGUAUUCUUAAGUAGUGUAACAGAAAUAUUUUGGUAGUUCAAAAUAUUUAUGGAUUUAUUCAAAGGUAUUUUGUAGUACAUUUAAUCUUUUUUUGUUGUUGUUGCUUUUGUUAACUGUCUGUUGUGUAUAUAUUGUUUUUGAGUCUGUAAUAGGUAGCAUAGCAUUGAGUUCUGUGUCUGUAAUAGAAUUUUGAGUUUUGUCUCUGCAAUCAGGAAUGCUUACAUUUUUUUCUUUUGAGGUUGGGGUUGGGGGUCUACAAAGUGAUUCUCUCACUUCCAACUCACUUCCCCCUGUACCCCUUAUCCUUCAGAGAGGAAGAGGACCAGGCAUUCUAUCCUAUUAUCCAGGCAGUUUUAGUGGUCUCUAACUAAUUAGCUGCAGUGAGCAUUUUUGAUCAAGAAGCAGGAAAGAUCUUUGUUAGAGCUGGCUGUGAUACCUCUCCUUUCCUUAAACUAGAAUAUUUGACAUAAACCUAAGACACUUUUUCCCUUAGUAAAAUGUGACUGCAAAAGGCUUUGUCCGAGAGGGGGAUAAAGUGUUGUGUGAUUCCACUGACUGGUACUCUUAGUAGUAAUUUAAAACAAAUUCUGUUGAUAGAGAGGUUUACCAUGCUUUUUGAAUAUUUGUUCAUGCACUGACUUAAUGUGAAUGGUAGGUGAAGAUAAUUUUUUGCAGGUGUAUGCAUAAUGCUGAGAUACAUUCAUAUUAGAAGUUGUAUGGUAUCUCCACACAAAGACUAAAUUUAAAUAGCUGGAUAUCUUGUAUGUAUUUUUCUACUCGAUUUUAGUCUGGUAAAUGACAUGUCUUGAUGUUUCUAAAUAAAGUUCUAUGAUAUUUUAAAUGGCUAUUUCUCUGUUUUCCUGUCUCUUUGUGCCACACUAUCAGAUUUGUUGAAUGUUUCCUGGAUUGUCACACAUCAAAUUUAUUACAAUUGGUGGAAAGUCGUAAUUGAGUUCUGGUAUUUCUUUAAACCUGCCAGAUUUGAACAGUGCCAUGGUAUCGGACCUGAUAUUAUUGCAAGAAGAAAUAUACUGUUAAGGAUAAUUUAUUGGAGAUUUUUUUAAACAUGAAAUGAAAAUGUAUAUUAUUUUUUAUUGUAGCAUUAAGUUAGCUGCCUAUGAUUUUCCUCGCUUCAAGCACAUACUAAUUCAUCUUCACAUCUUACUGAACUUCUUUGAACUCGCAGUGUCGCGUUUGAAAGUUCUUUUUAAGGGUUGCAAGUGUAAUUUAGUAAAUGUAAGACUAAAAUUAUGCAUCUGUAGAGAUGUAUGCCAUAUCUUUUUACCUCUUCAUUAUCUCUGUGAGGUUGAACCAUGUGGCCCCCUGCAUACACACACAGAUAAAGAAAACACAUCACUUGACUGAUGUCUGGGUGUCUAAAUAUUUUCAAAUUGGUCUUAAAUUAUCACAAUAAAUUAAAUCUAACAAUUAACAAA